UAGGGAAUCUUCCACAAUGGGCGCAAGCCUGAUGGAGCAACACCGCGUGAGUGAAGAAGGUCUUCGGAUCGUAAAACUCUGUUGUUAGAGAAGAACAUGCAGGAGAGUAACUGUUCUUGUAUUGACGGUAUCUAACCAGAAAGCCACGGCUAACUACGUGCCAA
rnacentral:rRNA from 1 species